ACUGUGGCCCUGAGGGGCAAAACACAACGGCAAAUCAGAAAACACAACACAAAAAGAGAAAACAUGACACUAAAACAGAAAACACAACACUAAAAUAGAAAACACAACGACAUGAACCACUGUGUUUUCUAUUUUUGUGUUGUGUUUUCUGAUUUGCUGUUGUUAAUUGCACCUCAGGGCCACUGUA